UAAUACGGAGGUUCCCAGCGUUGUUCGGAAUUACUGGGCGUAAAGGGAGCGCAGGCGGAUAGGUCAGUCUAAAGUGGAAUCCCGGGGCUCAACCUCGGACGUGCUUUGGAUACUGCCUGUCUUGAGUUCGUGAGAGGAAAGCGGAAUUCAGGGUGUAGCGGUGAAAUGCUUAGAUAUCCUGAGGAACACCGGUGGCGAAAGCGGCUUUCUGGUACGAAACUGACGCUGAGGCUCGAAAGCGUGGGGAGCGAACGGG
rnacentral:rRNA from 1 species